CUUCGGGUCUAGUGGCGCACGGGUGCGUAACGCGUGGGGAUAGCCCUUGGGUUCGGAAUAACAGUGAGAAAUUGCUGCUAAUACCGGAUGAUGUCUUCGGACCAAAGAUUUAUCGCCCAGGGAUGAGCCCGCGUAGGAUUAGCUAGUUGGUGGGGUAAUGGCCUACCAAGGCGACGAUCCUUAGCUGGUCUGAGAGGAUGAUCAGCCACACUGGGACUGAGACACGGCCCAGACUCCUACGGGAGGCAGCAGUGGGGAAUAUUGGACAAUGGGCGAAAGCCUGAUCCAGCAAUGCCGCGUGAGUGAUGAAGGCCUUAGGGUUGUAAAGCUCUUUUACCAGAGAUGAUAAUGACGGUACCUGGAGAAUAAGCCCCGGCUAACUCCGUGCCAGCAGCCGCGGUAAU
rnacentral:rRNA from 1 species